UCCCUGAUGGCUCAGAGGUCACAGCGUCUGCCUGCAAUGCGGGAGACCUGGGUUCAAUCCCUGGGUUGGGAA
rnacentral:tRNA from 1 species